rnacentral:rRNA from 1 species
UUUAAGCUUCCUACGGGAGGCUGCAGUGGGGAAUUUUGGACAAUGUGGUGCAAGCCUGAUCCAGCAAUGCCGCGUGCAGGAAGAAGGCCUUCGGGUUGUAAACUGCUUUUGUACGGAGCGAAAAGGCUCUCUCUAAUACAGGGGGCUCAUGACGGUACCGUAAGAAUAAGCACCGGCUAACUACGUGCCAGCAGCCGCGGUAAUACGUAGGGUGCAAGCGUUAAUCGGAAUUACUGGGCGUAAAGCGUGCGCAGGCGGUUUUGUAAGACAGGCGUGAAAUCCCCGGGCUCAACCUGGGAAUGGCGCUUGUGACUGCAAAGCUGGAGUGCGGCAGAGGGGGAUGGAAUUCCGCGUGUAGCAGUGAAAUGCGUAGAUAUGCGGAGGAACACCGAUGGCGAAGGCAAUCCCCUGGGCCUGUACUGACGCUCAUGCACGAAAGCGUGGGGAGCAAACAGGAUUAGAUACCUUGUAGUCGAAUUCUU